rnacentral:tRNA from 1 species
GCCCAUAUAGUUCAGUGGUAGACCGCCUCACUCGUAGAUGGUAUCAUCAGACAUGAGGAAGUCCGCCGUUCGAUCCGGCGUGUGGGCA